UGGGGAAUAUUGGACAAUGGGCGAAAGCCUGAUCCAGCCAUGCCGCGUGAGUGAUGAAGGCCCUAGGGUUGUAAAGCUCUUUUGUGCGGGAAGAUAAUGACGGUACCGCAAGAAUAAGCCCCGGCUAACUUCGUGCCAGCAGCCGCGGUAAUACGAAGGGGGCUAGCGUUGUUCGGAAUUACUGGGCGUAAAGGGCGCGUAGGCGGUCGUGCAAGUCAGAUGUGAAAGCCCUGGGCUCAACCCAGGAUGUGCAUUUGAUACUGCAUGGCUAGAGUGUCGGAGAGGAUGGUGGAAUUCCCAGUGUAGAGGUUAAAUUCGUAGAUAUUGGGAAGAACACCGGUGGCGAAGGCGACCAUCUGGACGACAACUGACGCUGAGGCGCGAAAGCGUGGGGAGCAAACA
rnacentral:rRNA from 1 species